GUAGGCCUAGUUCCUCAAGAGUUUUCAUUUUUCAAUUAUUCAAGAGAGGUCGUGAUUAGUACUCUUAAUAUCUGGCAUUUUAAACAUUUUUUCUAGUUUACGUCAUUAUUUACAAGAAUAACAGAAAUAUUUUAAGAUUAAUUAUACCAAUGCAAUGCAGCAGGGGGCGCAGUUUGAUCAUGAUGCCAACAAGGACUACUGAGUGCAUAGAUUAUGACUGAUCUCCAGCCACCCGACAACACCCUAAGACGCACAGACCUCAGAUGCAGUGAAUAGUUGGAUAAAUACAGUUUUUCCAGAUGACAUGUCUACAGAGAUAAAUGCUAGACAAGUCAGCAAAAAUACAAAUGGAAAAACAUUAUUUGAUUUUCAGACUCCAGACUGGUCCAACAUCACAUACUAUGAAGACAUCCAACUAAAGACAGUUUUAAACAAAUAAAACCUUUUUGUUCAAAUGUCUGCCAGAACAGACUAUACUGACUGAAUAAAAAUAAAAUGCAAUGCACAUUAACAUGCUAAAACAAUGUGUUGUCCCGUUAAACAUUUACUUAUAUGAUGGUAUGACAGCUACAUUGGAUUCCUUUGAGAAACUGGUAGAAAUGCCCCAGUUUAGGAACUAAUGGUUGUCCGAAUCCCCAACUGUCAGUAAUAAUGAAUUAUAUAUUAUAUACCAUUUCACAUUUCAUGUUAGACUGAGACAGAGAUGAUGAAAAC